rnacentral:tRNA from 1 species
GGAGUAAUGGCGGAGCGGUCGAUUGCGACGAUCCCGAGAAUCGUUUCAGCCCUGGCUAGCGAGGGUUCAAAUCCCUCCCUCUCCG